rnacentral:rRNA from 2 species
CCCUUUGGGUGUGACUGCGUACCUUUUGUAUAAUGGGUCAGCGACUUAUAUUCUGUAGCAAGGUUAACCGAAUAGGGGAGCCGGAGGGAAACCGAGUCUUAACCGGGCGUUAAGUUGCAGGGUAUAGACCCGAAACCCGGUGAUCUAGCCAUGGGCAGGUUGAAGGUUGGGUAACACUAACUGGAGGACCGAACCGACUAAUGUUGAAAAAUUAGCGGAUGACCUGUGGCUGGGGGUGAAAGGCCAAUCAAACCGGGAGAUAGCUGGUUCUCCCCGAAAGCUAUUUAGGUAGCGCCUCGUGAAUUCAUCUCCGGGGGUAGAGCACUGUUUCGGCUAGGGGGCCAUCCCGGCUUACCAACCCGAUGCAAACUGCGAAUACCGGAGAAUGUUAUCACGGGAGACACACGGCGGGUGCUAACGUCCGUCGUGAAGAGGGAAACAACCCAGACCGCCAGCUAAGGUCCCAAAGUCAUGGUUAAGUGGGAAACGAUGUGGGAAGGCCCAGACAGCCAGGAUGUUGGCUUAGAAGCAGCCAUCAUUUAAAGAAAGCGUAAUAGCUCACUGGUCGAGUCGGCCUGCGCGGAAGAUGUAACGGGGCUAAACCAUGCACCGAAGCUGCGGCAGCGACACUGUGUGUUGUUGGGUAGGGGAGCGUUC